rnacentral:rRNA from 1 species
ACUGCCNUUGAUACUAUCUAUCUUGAAUAUUGUGGAGGUAAGCNGAAUAUGUCNUGUANCCGUGAANUGGUUGGNUAUGACNUAGAACNCCCAUUGCGAAGGCAGCUUACUACGCNUAUAUUGACCGCUGAGGCACGAAAGCGUGGGGAUCAAACCGGAUUAGAUACCCCUGGUAGUCCNCGCCCCUAAACGAUGGAUACUCGACAUACGCGAUACACUGUGUGUGUCUGAGCGAAAGCAUUAAGUAUCCCCACCUGGGAAGUACGUUCGCAAGAAUGAAACUNNNAGGAAUUGGCGGGGGUCCGCACAAGCNGUGGAGUAUGUGGUUUAAUUCGAUGAUACGCGAGGAACCUUACCUGGGCUAGAAUGCUGGGAGACCGCUAGUGAAAGCUAGUUUUGUAGCCAAUACACUGNCCAGUAAGGUGNCUGNCAUGGGCCGUCGUCAGCUCGUGCCGUGAGGUGUUGGGUUAAGUCCCCGCAACGAGCGCAACCCCCUAUCUUUAGUUGCCAACAGGUAAUGGCUGGGAACUCCUAAAGAAACUGCCNCCGUAAGGUGUGAGGAAGGAGGGGAUGAUGUCAGGUCAUCAUGGGCCUUUAUGCCCAGGGCUACACACGUACUACCAUGGGGAAGACAANGGCUGCAACCUAGCGAUAUGAAGCCAAUNCCAAAACUUCCUCNCNGUUNAAUUGCAGCUGCAC